rnacentral:rRNA from 1 species
UACGUAGGUGGCAAGCGUUGUCCGGAAUUAUUGGGCGUAAAGCGCGCGCAGGCGGCCUCUUAAGUCUGAUGUGAAAGCCCCCGGCUCAACCGGGGAGGGCCAUUGGAAACUGGGAGGCUUGAGUAUAGGAGAGAAGAGUGGAAUUCCACGUGUAGCGGUGAAAUGCGUAGAGAUGUGGAGGAACACCAGUGGCGAAGGCGAGUCUCUGGGCCGUAACUGACGCUGAGGAGCGAAAGCGUGGGGAGCGAACAGG